AAGUCUCGAGUCCCAAAAUUACCUCAAAAACAUGCAUUGGAUGAAGCACUCUAUCUUGAGCCAAAGCAGACACAUCCCACAAGCAAAUAUAUUAAGAUAUCACUCUUACAAGCAGAGUUUAGAUAGAAGAAUCAGGAGAGCUGGUAAAGGAUUUCCUAUGUGAUGAUUCCAGACAAACUUGCUAUCUAUGGGCUAGCAGAAGGGCUCGAGCUGCAGCAGCGAAUUGAAGGAAUGGGAAAGUAGUGUCAUCAAGAGUACAUAUGGUCUUGCAAUAAGUAGUUUGUCAACUGCAACAUCAGCUUUCCCCUCAGAACAUAGAGAGGCUGGCAUGUGAUUUCAAUUAUGUUUCAGUGCUAGAGCUGUGAACAGUAUAGUUACCCGUUACUGAUGCAUCUGGCCAUCACAAAUGUCAAUGGGAGCCUCUUUCCAACAUUGGGGUGAAAAAUGACUAUGCCAGGGAGAAGGAUAUCUGUAGGUUCAUUGCUUUCAGAUGGCAGGCAGUUCAUUAGAAGAAUGUGUAUAAAAAUAAUUGGUCAUUUUCAUAAUUGAGGGUGCUUUCAGAUGGUUCUUGCUUUCAGAACCCGGCGAGAUCAAAACAUUGCUUACUGGAUUUUUAAUAUCACAAUAAAGUUUUCCUUUUUCUGUUUUGAAUUUGAAUUUUGGUUUUGAUACAUUUGGUUGAGCUCCGAUGAUGAAUUCUUCGAUGCCUAAGUGCCUAGCUCUCUUAUGCGAUUAUCGUUCCAAUUUCCGAAGCUUAAUGAUAACAUAGAGCUUCUAUGUGGAACUCAAGGGACAUCUGAGGAG